rnacentral:rRNA from 1 species
CGCGUAGGCGGUUUUGUAAGUCGGAUGUGAAAUCCCCGGGCUUAACCUGGGAACUGCAUUCGAUACUGCAUAACUAGAGCAUGGUAGAGGGAAGUGGAAUUCCGGGUGUAGCGGUGAAAUGCGUAGAUAUCCGGAGGAACACCAGUGGCGAAGGCGACUUCCUGGGCCAAUACUGACGCUGAGGUGCGAAAGCGUGGGGAGCAAACA